UACGAAGGGUGCAAGCGUUACUCGGAAUUACUGGGCGUAAAGGGUGCGUAGGCGGGUUUCUAAGUCAGAGGUGAAAGCCUGGAGCUCAACUCCAGAACUGCCUUUGAUACUGGAAGUCUUGAGUAUGGCAGAGGUGAGUGGAACUGCGAGUGUAGAGGUGAAAUUCGUAGAUAUUCGCAAGAACACCAGUGGCGAAGGCGGCUCACUGGGCCAUUACUGACGCUGAGGCACGAAAGCGUGGGGAGCAACAGG
rnacentral:rRNA from 1 species